rnacentral:rRNA from 1 species
AGUGAACGCUGGCGGUAGGCCUAACACAUGCAAGUCGAACGGCAGCACAGGAGAGCUUGCUCUCUGGGUGGCGAGUGGCGGACGGGUGAGGAAUACAUCGGAAUCUGCCCAGUCGUGGGGGAUAACGUAGGGAAACUUACGCUAAUACCGCAUACGACCUUCGGGUGAAAGAGGGGGAUCGCAAGACCUCUCGCGAUUGGAUGAGCCGAUGUCGGAUUAGCUAGUUGGCGGGGUAAUGGCCCACCAAGGCGACGAUCCGUAGCUGGUCUGAGAGGAUGAUCAGCCACACUGGAACUGAGACACGGUCCAGACUCCUACGGGAGUCAGCAGUGGGGAAUAUUGGACAAUGGGCGCAAGCCUGAUCCAGCCAUACCGCGUGGGUGAAGAAGGCCUUCGGGUUGUAAAGCCCUUUUGUUGGGAAAGAAAUCUUUCAGGCUAAUACCCUGGGAGGAUGACGGUACCCAAAGAAUAAGCACCGGCUAACUUCGUG